rnacentral:rRNA from 1 species
CACGUAGGCGGCGACGUAAGUUGGGUGUGAAAUCCCCCGGCCCAACCGGGGAACUGCGCCCAGUACUGCGUUGCUUGAGGAUCCAAGGGGUGCAUGGAAUUCCCGGUGGAGCGGUGAAAUGCGUUGAUAUCGGGAGGAACUCCGGCGGCGAAAGCGGUGCACUGGUGGAUUACUGACGCUGAGGUGCGAAAGCCAGGGGAGCAAACGGGAUUAGAUACCCCGGUAGUCCUGGCCGUAAACGAUGGGCACUAGGUAGGGGGAAACCAAACGUCUCCCUGCUGGAGUGAAUAUAUUAAGUGCCCCGCCUGGGAAGUACGGUCGCAAGGCUGAA